CUCUGAGUGACUUGCCCAUGCACCAGUCACAAUGAAGGAAAGUGCCCGGGACGGAGGGCGGAGGCGGGAGGAGAGGCAUAGGUGGAGCAGAGAGGGCUGCUGAUUGGACGGGUCCUCUUGGGCUCCGACCAAUAAAAAGAACACGAGCGUGAGCCUCCCCGCGGGAGCGAGAGUCCUCGGACUACACCUAGGGGAACCAGACUCUACUCUCACUGGCUCUUGCCAAAGAGAUCCUGCCCAGGAAUUAAAACCCCUGGAGGAAGGACGAGCUGAUUUUCUCCUGGACUCUCAUUUGAAAAACUUAACGUGUUUGGAGUCACUUUACAUUCUGGACCCUGGGAGCUUUGGGCAUGUGGCUUAAUGACAACUGCAAGAUCUAAGCGUUGAAGACACAGUGUGAAUUCUGACCACCAUCACCUCCACUGGCUUUGGCCUCAGCCUUUUCCUGAUAUGGAAAGUUUGGAUUCAGAGGAAGAGCAGAAGAAAACAGCCUAGGAAGGGGCAGGUCCCAGAAGAGCUCACUAAAUCUAGGGAAAGCAUCUACUUGGCUGUUUGAGAAUAUGGGUCCAACCCUUUUGCCAGAAGAGAGCAAAGCAUCAGACUGACUGCCCCACCAAGACGGCUGGCUCAUGGAGCAGUUCCCAGCAGAAGGAAGCUGGAUACCUGCAGGCAAAAACAAAUCAGCUGUCUCCACCUGGCCCUGAAUGGUCAAAUGCAUGUGCAAUACUUAGUACAAGUCCUAGAUCAUAGCAUUUGCUCAGUACACUCAAAC
rnacentral:lncRNA from 1 species